rnacentral:lncRNA from 1 species
ACUUAUUCUUUAUUUUACUAAGAAUAUAGAUCUCAAAUAUCACCUUCAAUAACCAUUUUAAUUAGAUAUAAAGCAACCAAAAAUAAAUAAAUAAAUAAAAAAUAAAAAUGAUUCAAAUUCUAUUAGCUUUAUAACUCAAAUUGUAAUAUAGACUAUGCAUCUUUCUUCUCCCUCUAGAUUUUGUUAACAUACUCCAACCUCUCUUUCCACCCUCUCCAUCAACCCUCUAUUGCACUUUAACCUAUUCCAACUUAUAUUGUAUUUUUCCUCCCCAUGCCUUCUUAUUAACUAAACGCUUUGGAUUCUUUUCUUUAUGCUUCU